GGUCGGUUGCCCGAGUGGUUAGGGAGCGGUCUGCAAAACCGCCUACACCGGUUCGAUCCCGGUACCGACCU
rnacentral:tRNA from 1 species